rnacentral:misc_RNA from 1 species
UUUCCGUAGGUGAACCUGCGGAAGGAUCAUUCAUAAUAAAGUGUUUUAUGGCACUUUUUAAAAAUCCAUAUCCACCUUGUGUGCAAUGUUAGAUCUCGUCAAUUUUGGCGAGAUUUUUAUACAUCAACUCAUUCUUUAACUAAUUUGUCUAAAAAAUAUUAUGAAUACUUAAUUCAAAAUACAACUUUCAACAACGGAUCUCUUGGCUCUC